UACGUAGGUGGCGAGCGUUGUCCGGAUUUACUGGGCGUAAAGGGAGCGUAGGCGGACUUUUAUGUGAGAUGUGAAAUACCCGGGCUCAACUUGGGUGCUGCAUUUCAAACUGGAAGUCUAGAGUGCAGGAGAGGAGAAUGGAAUUCCUAGUGUAGCGGUGAAAUGCGUAGAGAUUAGGAAGAACACCAGUGGCGAAGGCGAUUCUCUGGACUGUAACUGACGCUGAGGCUCGAAAGCGUGGGGAGCAAACAGGAUUAGAUA
rnacentral:rRNA from 1 species